GAUGAAGAACGUAGCGAAAUGCGAUAAGUAAUGUGAAUUGCAGAAUUCAGUGAAUCAUCGAAUCUUUGAACGCACAUUGCGCCCGCCAGUAUUCUGGCGGGCAUGCCUGUUCGAGCGUCAUUACAACCCUCAGGCCCCCGGGCCUGGCGUUGGGGAUCGGCGGAAGCCCCCUGUGGGCACACGCCGUCCCUCAAAUACAGUGGCGGUCCCGCCGCAGCUUCCAUUGCGUAGUAGCUAACACCUCGCAACUGGAGAGCGGCGCGGCCAUGCCGUAAAACACCCAACUUCUGAAUGUUGACCUCGAAUCAGGUAGGACUACCCGCUGAACUUAAGCAUAUCAAUAAGCGGAGGA
rnacentral:misc_RNA from 1 species